rfam:Acyrthosiphon pisum strain LSR1 Contig15558, whole genome shotgun sequence.
GUUCUCGUCAAAGUGGUUGUGAAACGUUCUGGUUUUCAUUUUAAAUUCAAUUAAUAUCGUAUCACAGCCAGCUUUGUAUGAGCACUG